rnacentral:rRNA from 1 species
GAUACCUGCGGAUCUUACACAUGCAAGUCGAACGGUACGCGGGGCACCUGGCGACGAGUGGCGGACGGGUGAGGAAUGCUUGGAAUCCCCAUGUAGUGGGGGAUAACUUGGGGAAACACUAGCUAAUACCGCAUAAUUCCUACGGGAGAAAGAGGGCCUAUACUUGUAAGCUCUUGCUAUUGGAUGAGCCUAUGUCGGAUUAGUUAGUUGGUGAGGUAAUGGCUUACCAAGACUACAAUCCGUAGCUGGUUUGAGAGGAUGAUCAGCCACACUGGGACUGAGACACGGCCCAGACUCCUACGGGAGGCAGCAGUAGGGAGUAUUGGACAAUGGGCGCAAGCCUGAUCCAGCAAUGCCGCGUGUGUGAAGAAGGCCUGCGGGUUGUAAAGCACUUUUAAUUGGGAGGAAAAGCUUAAGGUUAAUACCUUUAAGUGUUGACGUUACCAAUAGAAUAAGCACCGGCUAACUCUGUGCCAGCAGCCGCGGUAAUACAGAGGGUGCGAGCGUUAAUCGGAAUUACUGGGCGUAAAGCGUGCGUAGGCGGUUAAGUAAGUCGGAUGUGAAAUCCCCGGGCUCAACCUGGGAAUUGCAUUCGAUACUGCGUAGCUAGAGUAUGGGAGAGGGAAGUGGAAUUUCCGGUGUAGCGGUGAAAUGCGUAGAUAUCGGAAGGAACACCAGUGGCGAAGGCGGCUUCCUGGCCCAAUACUGACGCUCAGGUGCGAAAGCGUGGGGAGCGAACAGGAUAGAUACCCUGGUAGUCCACGCUGUAAACGAUGAGAACUAGAUGUUGGGAGGGUUUGCCUCUCAGUGUCGCAGCUAACGCGUUAAGUUCUCCGCCUGGGGAGUACGACCGCAAGGUUGAAACUCAAAGGAAUUGACGGUGACCCGCACAAGCGGUGGAGCAUGUGGAUUAAUUCGAUGCAACGCGAAGAACCUUACCUGCCCUUGACAUCCUCGGAACUUGGCAGAGAUGCCUUGGUGCCUUCGGGAACCGAGAGACAGGUGCUGCAUGGCUGUCGUCAGCUCGUGUCGUGAGAUGUUGGGUUAAGUCCCGCAACGAGCGCAACCCUUUUCCCUAGUUGCCAGCACUUCGGGUGGGCACUCUAGGGAGACCGCCGGUGACAAACCGGAGGAAGGUGGGGACGACGUCAAGUCAUCAUGGCCCUUAUGGGCAGGGCUACACACGUGCUACAAUGGGCAGUACAGAGGGUUGCCAAGCCGCAAGGUGGAGCUAAUCCCAGAAAGCUGCUCGUAGUCCGGAUCGGAGUCUGCAACUCGACUCCGUGAAGUCGGAAUCGCUAGUAAUCGCGAAUCAGCAUUGUCGCGGUGAAUAAGUUCCCGGGUCUUGUACCACACCGCCCGUCACACCAUGGGAGUUGAUUGCACCAGAAGUAGUAGCCUAACCGCAAGGAGGGCGCUACCACGUGUG